rnacentral:rRNA from 1 species
AGUUUGAUCAUGGCUCAGAUUGAACGCUGGCGGGAUGCUUUACACAUGCAAGAUGGAGCAGCGGCACGGACUUCGGUCUGGUGGCGGUGGCGAACGGGUGAGUAAUGUAUCGGAACGUGCCUGUGGCGGGGAUAACUACGCAGCGUAGCUAAUACAUACGCCCUUCGAAGGAAGAAAGCGGGGGACUGGGGCUCACCGCGCUAUUAGAGCGGCCGAUAUCGGAUUAGCUAGUUGGUGGGAGUAAAACGGCUCACCAAGGCGACGAUCGCUAGCUGGUUUGAGAGGACGACCAGCCACUGGGACUGAGACACGGCCCAGACUCCUGCGGUAAGCAGUGAGAAUUUUGGACAAUGGGGGAAACCUGAUCCGGCCAUCCCGCGUAUUGCGAUGAAGGCCUUCGGGUUUGUAAAAAGCUGCUUUUGGCAGGAAAAAGCGGCACGGGAUAAUACCCCGUGCAACUGACGAACACCUGCAGAUAACCGCAACUAACUACGUGCCAACAGCCACGCGGUAUACGUAGGGUGCAAGCGUUAAUCGAUCACUGAGAUAAAGCAUUUUUUGCCAGGCGGUUCGGAAAAGAAGAUGUGAAAUCCCAGAGCUUAACUUUGGAACUGCAUUUUUAACUACCGAGCUAGAGUGUGUCAGAGGGAGGUGGAAUUCCGCGUGUAGCAGUGAAAUGCGUAGAUAUGCGGAGGAACACCGAUGGCGAAGGCAGCCUCCUGGAUGCUGCUGACGCUCAUGCACAAGCGUGGAGCAAACAGGAUUAGAUACCCUGGUAGUGCGCUAAACGAUGUCAACUAGCUGUUGGGGCCUUCGGGCCUUGGUAGCGCAGCUAACGCGUGAAGUUGACCGCCUGGGGAGUACGGUCGCAAGAUUAAAACUCAAAGGAAUUGUGAGGACCCGCACAAGCGAUGGAUGAUGGUUAAUUCGAUGCAACGCAUGACAUACCUACCCUUGACAUGUCUGGAAUCCCGAAGAGAUUUGGGAGUGCUCGCAAGAGAACCGGAACACAGAGUGCACACCGUAACAUCGUCAGCUCGUGUCGUGAGAUGUUGGGUUAAGUCCCGCAACGAACAACCCUUGUCGUUGAUUUAUUUCCACGAAGGGCACUCUAAUGGAGCUGCCGGUAACAAACCGGAGGAAGGUGGGGAUGACGUCAAGUCCUCAUGGUCCUUAUGGGUAGGGCUACGUCAGCCUGAUAGUGGGACGAAGGUGCCAACCCGCGAGGAGCCAAUCCCAGAAACCUGAUCGUAAUCGGAUCGCAGUCUGCAACUCGACUGCGUGAAGUCGGGAAAUCGCUAGUAAUCGCGGAUCAGCAUGUCGCGGUGGUGCUGGUCCCGGGUCUUGUACACACCGCCCGUCACACCAUGGGAGUGGGUUUUACCAAAAAUGCAGUUAGCCUAACCGCCGGAGGGCGAUUACCACGGUAGGAUUCAUGACUGGGGUGAAGUCGUAACAAGGUAG